CUAACGGGUGAGUAAUGCGUGACCAACCUGCCCCAUGCUCCAGAAUAGCUCUUGGAAACGGGUGGUAAUGCUGGAUGCUCCAACUUGACGCAUGUCUUGUUGGGAAAGUGUUUAGUGGCAUGGGAUGGGGUCGCGUCCUAUCAGCUUGUAGGCGGGGUAAUGGCCCACCUAGGCUUCGACGGGUAGCCGGCCUGAGAGGGCGGACGGCCACAUUGGGACUGAGAUACGGCCCAGACUCCUACGGGAGGCAGCAGGG
rnacentral:rRNA from 1 species